GCCGGCGUCGUGGGAUGAAUUGGAGAAGCCGACGGAAAUUUGGAGGAAUUGGCGUCGAUUUGGUCAGAGAGAGAGAGACGUUGGGAGAUGGGUGAAAGUUUUAGGCCUCAAUUUGGAGACAAGAGUUAGAAAGAUUACAAAUUAAAAAGAGAUAGGCUAAGGGGAACACUCAUGAUGACGAAGGCUUUCCACGCACAUUUUUCGAGGAUGGGAUGAAGCGCAAGUUAAAACUUUAAACAAACGAGGUUGAGCGUGACGGGUGCGGUGG